UACGUAGGGGGCAAGCGUUGUCCGGAUUUAUUGGGCGUAAAGAGCGUGUAGGCGGCCAUACAGGUCCGUUGUGAAAACUGGAGGCUUAACCUCCAGACGUCGAUGGAAACCGUGUGGCUAGAGUCCGGAAGAGGAGAGUGGAAUUCCUGGUGUAGCGGUGAAAUGCGCAGAUAUCGAGAGGAACACCAGUGGCGAAGGCGAGUCCCUGGACAACUCCUGACGCUGAGGCACGAAAGCUAGGGGAGCAAACAGG
rnacentral:rRNA from 1 species